rnacentral:rRNA from 1 species
UACGUAGGGGGCAAGCGUUGUCCGGAUUUAUUGGGCGUAAAGCGCGUGUAGGCGGCCACACAGGUCCGCUGUGAAAACUCGAGGCUCAACCUCGAGCUGUCGGUGGAAACCGUGUGGCUAGAGUCCGGAAGAGGAGACUGGAAUUCCCGGUGUAGCGGUGGAAUGCGCAGAUAUCGGGAGGAAUACCAGUGGCGAAGGCGGCUUCCUGGCCUGUUCUUGACGCUGAGGCGCGAAAGCUAGGGUAGCAAACGGG